rnacentral:rRNA from 1 species
ACAAAGCUUCCGUGGGUGAACCUGCGGAAGGAUCAUUACCGAUUGCUUCGCAGAGGUUUCCGCAUGUUUGACCGUCCGAGGAGGGAUACGUUCAGCUCUCCCCCCUCGGAAAAGUAAAUGAAAUCCCAAGCCGAGAGUCUCCUGCCCUGGGAGCCUGGCCUCCCCGCCCCGGUGGCUAGGCAGGCAUCUCGCGAGUGAGUAUCCCGAAUCUCGCGUGAAUCCGGCGUAAGACUGGGACGUCCCGUAAGUGCCCCUGCGCCCGCGUCCCGCCUCCCUCCGUCUGCCCGCCAGGCGGGGUAUUCGCGGUGGUGAGCUGGCAACGAGCCCAGGGUCUGACCCCUCGCGGCGAGCGGGUGUCCGUUCCGUCCAUCGCGCUUAGUCUUGGGCCCUGUCCCCGCUCCGACACGACCGGCUUGAUGCCUAACCACCCGCCCACCAGCGCAUACCGCCCUCCGGUACGGCGCUGCGUCCCGGUUAGGCCCGCUCCGUGGACCGAUGUUCUCACAGCGACGCCCGUUCGACGAUUGGAGGUGUGAUGGGGUGGGGAAAGGCUUAUGCCACCGUGUCGGGUUGGGCCGUCGGCCAUGAAAACCUCUAAACAUCAGCCACCAGCGCGGGCAGGAGGUCUUGUCCUGGUCAUCCUCCGUGCACCACCGGGUACCCAACGCGACACUCGCCUCCGGAGUCAGCAGGGGGGUAGAAUGUCUCCUGCCCCAGUUUGUUCCGCCCGCCUCACGGGAGGGACGCCUGGGGGCUUUGCCGUCUAACCCUGUAAAACCCGUCGUCUCCGAACUGUGAGCUUACCCUCCCCAAUACGAAAACAUAAAAACUUGACAACUCUUACUGGUAAAUCACUCGGCUCAUGCAUCGAUGAAGAACGCAGCAAGCUGCGAGAACUCAUGUGAAUUGCAGGACACAUUGAUCAUCGAAACUUCGAACGCACCUUGCGGCCCCGGGUUACUCCCGGGGCUACGGCUGUCUGAGGGUCGCUUUGACAUCAAUCGGAAAGGCCGUUCUACCUCGUGCCUUCUCGCGGGUGUGGCCGACGCUGGCAUCCGUUGCUCUUCCCACUAAGCGCAGACGGCUGAGGAGUCUCUCGCCACCUCGGUUGCGGUUGUGGCGCGGUAUCAGGCCUGCCGCCCUUCCGUAAUACCCAUGGGAUCCAGUGCUCCAGUUCCUCUCUUCCUCAUGCUCCCGUGGAACCAAAAACACCUGGGUGAAGGGUCGCCCGGACGGGCGCCGCAUGACUCGGGAGCGGCUGUCGGUGGACAGACCAUGUCUCUCCGCGCUGACCGUGUUACGUGUGGACCCGGUUCUGACGGGAACGCUGCGGCUGUGAGUACGAGGUUCGGGGGUCGUCCUCGGUGUUUGGGAGGUCGCGGCGCAGGGGGCACCCACCGGCUCGUCGCGGCGCACUCCACCUCCGGAGGCGUUACGACCCCCCCAGGCUAUCCCGGAACGCCUGAGCCCCCCCUUCAACUCGUGGGACGGGGG